GGAAGAGAAACGCCCCCGGUGGGGCGGCCGGACUUCAAAUCCGGAAGGGGCCGUAAGCCGGCCCUUGGUGGGUUCGACCCCCACUCUCUUCCG
rnacentral:tRNA from 1 species